rnacentral:rRNA from 1 species
AUACGUAGGUGGCGAGCGUUGUCCGGAAUUACUGGGCGUAAAGGAUGCGUAGGUGGAUAUUUAAGUGGGCUGUGAAAUCCCCGGGCUCAACCCGGGAACUGCAUUCCAAACUGGGUAUCUAGAGUGCAGGAGAGGAAAGCGGAAUUCCUAGUGUAGCGGUGAAAUGCGUAGAUAUUAGGAGGAGCACCAGUGGCGAAGGCGGCUUGCUGAACUGCACGUGGCACUAAGCCAUGAACGGUUGGGUAGAACACGGGAGUAGAUGCCCUGCUGUACCACGCCGAAAACGGGGUGUACUAGUUGUAGGAGGGAGCGGCCCCUCCUGUGCCGUCGUUAACACAAAAAGUACCCCGCCUGGGGAGUGCGGUCGCAAGACUAAUACUCAAAGGAAUUGGCGGGG